rnacentral:rRNA from 1 species
CUGCGACUCGCCUGUAUGAAGUCGGAAUUGCUAGUAAUCGUGGAUCAGCAUGCCACGGUGAAUACGUUCCCGGGCCUUGUACACACCGCCCGUCACACCAUGAGAGCCGGGAACACCCGAAGUCCGUAGUCUAACCUAUAUGGAGGACGCGGCCGAAGGUGGGUUUGGUAAUUGGGGUGAAGUCGUAACAAGGUAAC